UACGUAGGGGGCAAGCGUUGUCCGGAUUUAUUGGGCGUAAAGAGCGUGUAGGCGGCCAGGUAGGUCCGCUGUGAAAACUCGAGGCUCAACCUCGAGAUGUCGGCGGAAACCAUCUGGCUAGAGUCCGGAAGAGGAGAGUGGAAUUCCUGGUGUAGCGGUGAAAUGCGUAGAUAUCUGGAGGAACACCGGUGGCGAAGGCGGCAUCCUGGACCAAUAUUGACGCUGAGGAGCGAAAGCCAGGGGAGCAAACGGG
rnacentral:rRNA from 1 species